rnacentral:rRNA from 1 species
AUUGAACGCUGGCGGCAUGCCUUACACAUGCAAGUCGAACGGUAACAGGUCUUCGGAUGCUGACGAGUGGCGAACGGGUGAGUAAUACAUCGGAACGUGCCUAGUAGUGGGGGAUAACUACUCGAAAGAGUGGCUAAUACCGCAUGAGAUCUACGGAUGAAAGCAGGGGAUCGCAAGACCUUGUGCUACUAGAGCGGCCGAUGGCAGAUUAGGUAGGUGGUGGGAUAAAAGCUUACCAAGCCGACGAUCUGUAGCUGGUCUGAGAGGACGAUCAGCCACACUGGGACUGAGACACGGCCCAGACGCCUACGGGAGGCAGCAGUGGGGAAUUUUGGACAAUGGGCGCAAGCCUGAUCCAGCAAUGCCGCGUGCAGGAUGAAGGCCUUCGGGUUGUAAACUGCUUUCGUACGGAACGAAAAGCCCCGGGUUAAUACCCUGGGGUCAUGACGGUACCGUAAGAAUAAGCACCGGCUAACUACGUGCCAGCAGCCGCGGUAA